rnacentral:rRNA from 1 species
AUGGGACAGCCCGUCGAAAGGCGGAUUAAUACCGUAUGUUGUCAUGUUGAUGCAUAUUUUCAUGACCAAAGGCUUCGGCCGGUAAAGGAUGGGGAUGCGUCUGAUUAGCUUGCCGGCGGGGUAACGGCCCACCGGGGCGACGAUCAGUAGGGGUUCUGAGAGGAAGGUCCCCCACAUUGGAACUGAGACACGGUCCAAACUCCUACGGGAGGCAGCAGUGAGGAAUAUUGGUCAAUGGGCGCGAGCCUGAACCAGCCAAGUAGCGUGCGGGACGACGGCCCUAUGGGUUGUAAACUGCUUUUAUACGGGGAUAAAGUAUGCCACGUGUGGUUUAUUGCAGGUACCGUAUGAAUAAGGACCGGCUAAUUCCGUGCCAGCAGCCGCGGUAAUACGGAAGGUCCGGGCGUUAUCCGGAUUUAUUGGGUUUAAAGGGAGCGUAGGCCGGGUUUUAAGCGUGCCGUGAAAUGUCGGGGCUCAACCUUGACACUGCGGCGCGAACUGGAGUCCUUGAGUGCGCGGAACGUAUGCGGAAUUCGUGGUGUAGCGGUGAAAUGCUUAGAUAUCACGAAGAACCCCGAUUGCGAAGGCAGCAUACGGCAGCGCUACUGACGCUGAAGCUCGAAGGCGCGGGUAUCGAACAGGAUUAGAUACCCUGGUAGUCCGCGCGGUAAAC